rnacentral:rRNA from 1 species
AUACGGAGGAUCCGAGCGUUAUCCGGAUUUAUUGGGUUUAAAGGGAGCGUAGGUGGAUUGUUAAGUCAGUUGUGAAAGUUUGCGGCUCAACCGUAAAAUUGCAGUUGAAGCUGGCAGUCUUGAGUACAGUAGAGGUGGGCGGAAUUCGUGGUGUAGCGGUGAAAUGCUUAGAUAUCACGAAGAACUCCGACUGCGAAGGCAGCUCACUAGACUGUUACUGACACUGAUGCUCGAAAGUGUGGGUAUCAAACAGGAUUAGAUACCCUGGUAGUCCACACAGUAAACGAUGAAUACUCGCUGUUUGCGAUAUACAGUAAGCGGCCGAGCGAAAGCAUUAAGUAUUCCACCUGGGGAGUACGCCGGCAACGGUGAAACUCAAAGGAAUUGGCGGGG